UACGAAGGGGGCUAGCGUUGCUCGGAAUCACUGGGCGUAAAGCGCACGUAGGCGGGCUCUUAAGUCGGUGGUGAAAUCCUGGAGCUCAACUCCAGAACUGCCUCCGAUACUGAGAGUCUUCGAGUUCGGGAGAGGUGAGUGGAACUGCGAGUGUAGAGGUGAAAUUCGUAGAUAUUCGGAAGAACACCAGUGGCGAAGGCGGCUCACUGGCCCGGUACUGACGCUGAGGUGCGAAAGCGUGGGGAGCAAACAGG
rnacentral:rRNA from 1 species